AACGAACGCUGGCGGCAGGCUUAACACAUGCAAGUCGAGCGCCCCGCAAGGGGAGCGGCGGACGGGUGAGUAACGCGUGGGAACGUACCCUUUGCUACGGAAUAGCUCCGGGAAACUGGAAUUAAUACCGUAUGUGCCCUACGGGGGAAAGAUUUAUCGGCAAAGGAUCGGCCCGCGUUGGAUUAGCUAGUUGGUGGGGUAAUGGCCUACCAAGGCGACGAUCCAUAGCUGGUCUGAGAGGAGGAUCAGCCACAUUGGGACUGAGACACGGCCCAAACUCCUACGGGAGGCAGCAGUGGGGACUAUUGGACAAUGGGCGCAAGCCUGAUCCAGCCAUGCCGCGUGAGUGAUGAAGGCCUUAGGGUUGUAAAGCUCUUUCACCGGAGAAGAUAAUGACGGUAUCCGGAGAAGAAGCCCCGGCUAACUUCGUGCCAGCCGCCGCCGUAAUAC
rnacentral:rRNA from 1 species